GAGGAUAGAGAGACGUGGAGAAAGAGAGGGGGAGGAAAGAUGAUUUAUUUCUAGCAUGAAAUUACUGUCUUUGCUUCGUUUGCUGGCUUGUAGCUCUGAUGUUGUCUAGCAGAUGUUUUACUUGGGGGAUAGAUGUUGUCUGAGCUUCUGAAAAGCCAAGUUGAUUAGCAGUAGUGUGGAAAUUAUUAAGUUGUAGAGGUACGAUAAAAAUAAAUAAAGUAGCCAUAUAAUUCUCAGGUAGUACCGGUAACGUGUUCUUAUGAUCAAGACUAAAGUGGUUUGCAUGGUCUUAGCCAUGUUUCCUAAACUUCUGAAAUGAAAAGUUGCCUUCACAAAUUAGCAAAAGUGAGGCAAUCAGGUUGUAAACUGUACAACUAUGGUAAAAUUCAUUAUCAUGUUUUUAUGAUUAAAGUGCUUUAAAUGGUCUUAACCAUGUUCAAUUAAGUUGUAAAUUGCACACCUAUGAUACAAAAAAUUGUUUGAGAAGUACCGCUUUAUUUUUUGUGCUUGCUUGGGUUCAGCUAGAACUUAAAAUCAUGGGCUUAAGCAAGGGAAAAAAAACUGAAGUUGGUGCGAUUAUAUUGUGUAUUGCCUUCUUAUAAUUAAAUAACGUGUUUUUUCGAGGACUUCUUGUGGUGCGAUUAAACCUUGUUUUUGGCACCUCGCUGACAAAGAUUAUGCCGCUGUUAUAAGCCCGUCCAGGGAUGAUCACAGCAUCACCGGUUGGAUGGGUUUGAAGAUUCUUUACAAGGGUAGUAAAUAUCCAAGUUGUUAAUGUUGUUAUCAGAUUUCCCCAAGAAUGCUGAAACAUAUGUCCACAGGAACAUAAGGGACGGAGGUGGCCGGUGUCUAUUAAACUUGUUUGACGCUGAAACAUACUAUUCUGAUCUCAUGCUUAACAAGUUCAUUAUAUGCCACCGCCAGUCUAAGUGAAAACUACCAUAAAUAGGUAGGUGUUUUCUUCUUAUAGUGUUCUAGAUGAUAGGUGAUAAGUUAGGUUAGCAAGGAAGGAUUAAUCAACCUUUUCGUGAAAUGGUGUGCAUAGAAAAUGUCUUUAUCAGUCUGACACUUCUAAUUACUCUUCAAUAUUAUAUCAUUCAUAUCAGCAUAAGUUGACUGAACAUGUUCUAAGAAUAAUAAGUCAAGCCCAUAAUUUACUUGGUUUUGUGUGGCUUUGUUCUCCAUUGCUUGGUUAAUUCUUAUUUCUAGACAAUUGAUUCUGGACUUAUUGAGGUUGUGCUAUUUCAGUCCACACAUGAGUUUUUUUAUAGUCGGUACUAUACUUUACAUCCUUUACUCAUAAAAUGGGAGGUGGUUACUGUUACCAGCUAGGUGCAAACUGGGAUUCUGAUAUAGUGGACCUUGUUGUCCUGCUCAAGGAUCCAAUAUCGGUUUACUGAUUUCAGUGCAAUACUGGAUAUUGGAUUCAACUUCUAUAUUCUUUGAAGUUCAAGACCCAUCCCUCCUUCCUUCUAAGUCUGACACAGUUUCUCAGUCAAAAAUUAACAUGGAUCCAUGAUCAAGAUAUCCAUGUUAAUUUUUGACUUGCACUUGCAUCUGAUCGGAUAUGCAAUUCCAGUCAUAUGCCUCCUUUCUUGCAACUGCCUACAGUUUUGUCAGCGUGUGGUGGUAUUCACCAUUAUGUGGCUCCAUGGUUGGUCCCGUUUGGUGCCCAGCUGCCUGAUGUUGUUCUUCGAUGAUUGUAUGAGAAAUCCUCUGGCUGGCUUCUGAAGAAACCGAUGUCAUGUUCACAUGUUAGAACAUGGAUAGGUACUUCUGGAUUGUCCCUAAAUCCUGGGCAGAUGCAUACCAAAGAAUUUCUUCUAAUUGGUUAUCAUUUCUACACUCACCUGCAUGGUUCACAUUUUCUCCUAAAUACAUUUUCUUUGAGAAAGAUGCAUGUCGCAUGAUGCUAUUGAGUUCUGAAUUGUGCAUGGGUUGUUUUUUCAUGCAGGUUAAAAUUCAGGUUGAGCUGGUUAAGCCUCCAAAAUAUGCAGCC